AAGCAAUGAAAAUCAUGAUUUUGCUGGUCUUCAAGAAUGGGAUCCAAGAGCUAUGCUUAAAAGUAUGUCUUUUCUUGAACAAAAGAUUCAUCAACUCCGGGAGCUGGUGCGUAUAAUUGUUGACCAUAGAAGUCUAGCUGGGAUUCAGGGAAGUGACCUUUCAAUUCAGCAACAACAGCUUAUAACAGCUGAUCUUACCUCUAUUAUUAUUCAAUUGAUAUCAACUGCAGGGAGUCUUCUUCCAACCGUGAAGCAUCAAGCGAAUCCACCUACCAAGCGACUCGAGCAGUUUGGUGGUGCUUCCGUUCCUUCUGAAACAGGUACUAAUAUUGGUGCUCUGACAUGUAAUGGUUAUGUGCCCAAGGCAAAAGAUCAGCUCAGCCAUGUUGAUCAAAUGGGAGAUUGUUUGU
rnacentral:misc_RNA from 1 species